rnacentral:rRNA from 1 species
GACGAACGCUGGCGGCGUGCUUAACACAUGCAAGUCGAGCGGAAAGGCCCCUUUGGGGGUACUCGAGCGGCGAACGGGUGAGUAACACGUGAGUAACCUGCCCCAGGCUUUGGGAUAACCCUCGGAAACGGGGGCUAAUACCGGAUAGGACCUGCUGCCGCAUGGUGGUGGGUGGAAAGUUUUUCGGCUUGGGAUGGGCUCGCGGCCUAUCAGCUUGUUGGUGGGGUGAUGGCCUACCAAGGCGACGACGGGUAGCCGGCCUGAGAGGGCGACCGGCCACACUGGGACUGAGACACGGCCCAGACUCCUACGGGAGGCAGCAGUGGGGAAUAUUGCACAAUGGGCGGAAGCCUGAUGCAGCGACGCCGCGUGAGGGAUGACGGCCUUCGGGUUGUAAACCUCUUUCAGCAGGGACGAAGCCCUUUUGGGGUGACGGUACCUGCAGAAGAAGCGCCGGCCAACUACGUGCCAGCCGCCGCCGUAAAAC